AAUCGAUUCACACAAAUCUAGCCGCCCCCCUGCUUCACACAAUGUUCGUCUUUUCUCUCUCACCAGGCCACCAUGAACCCUAGCCGCCGCCCCUCGCUAUGCCGCAAUGCCGUGAGCCAUCAGCGGUGAGGUGACGACCAGUCGACCAUCAUCCCCGAUCGCCGUGCCCCGUGCGUCGCGCCGCCAAGCCAGACCCUCUUGUGUCGCUCCACUGCCUGUGACGUAGCCAUCCACCAAUGGUGCUCCAUCUCCUGGUGACAAGUGUAGCUAUUGGCCGCUGCAGUUAGUCACCACCUCUCGUCCUCUUCCAAGCUGGUUGCCGGAUCGCCGGCUGCUGCUCUUCCCGUGCUCUACCUAGCAGCUGAAGAGGCAGAGGCGGAUGCAGAAGCAGGAGAGGAAUCAGUCUUACAUAGCAUCUUUGAAGAUGAAGAUGUUGAAGCAAAAGUUGUCGAAGGUGCCAAUCCAGAAGCUACUAUGUUGAAGUACUAAGCCCUCAUGGUGUUUGCUUCUUAUCGAUUCCAUGCGCCGAUGUUACUUGAUCUUACUUUUUGCUGUCAAAUAUAAAUGAGUACGCAUGCAUGAAUCUUGUUGCUGGUGAAGUGGUGAUUACAUAUGGUGCUGAUUUUCUAUUUGAAGAUUUUCAUGUGGUGUAUUGUAUUA